UCUUGGUUAAUGUUUUGGUAGCUAAUUUACUUGGUGAUUAUUAAUUCAUGUUUACAUGUACUUACACAAGGUAGUAGAAAUCUAUAAAAAAAACUAAAUUUAAAAAACAAUUUUAUAGAGGUAUAUUAUAAAGCAGUUAUGAAUACAAACAUGCAUAUGGGAAUUGCAGGAGAUGAAUUUCCACAAGUAAUUAAAUACAUGAUUCAAGGAGAAUAUACGAUGGGUAAUUACAAUUCUAUAACUAAACAAUAACUAAUGGUUUACCCUGAGAAGUGA